CUCCGUGCACCCCAAGACAUCGAAUAUCUUGGUAAUUUGCUUGACCCACGUUUCUGCCUUGAUCGGAUCCGGCUUUCCAUGGAAAUCUGGUGGUCCCAACUCUUUGAAUUGUUUGGCCGUGACAAACCGCACGUUACUAUCAUUUCCUCCCGUAUUUUGUACACGAGUCUCCCUCGUCUGAUUUUGUAUGAACUGCAAAAAGCUUCUAAACAUCCCGUCGUUCAUCAUUUGCUCAGUGACGUUGUUCACAGGAGGAACAUUGUCAUCCUGUUGCACGUUCUCCUCGUUGGUGAGUACCGGCGUCUCCACGGUCUCAUAAACUCCAUUGUUAACGUUCUCAGCAGCCAUUCUUAAAUACUGCCAUAAAACAAGGGUUAAUUAAACAAAUUAACAUAUCACAUAAUAUCCUAUAUUAUGACCGACCAACAAAUAAGCUUAGGUAGGACACACUAGCGAAGGAUUUACUCGUCUCUCCCCUCCUAGUUCUAUUCCCCGAUCUCCG
rnacentral:lncRNA from 1 species